rnacentral:rRNA from 1 species
AUGGCAAAAUUUUGGUGGAGUGGAUCCCUCGACCGUCGGUCCUUGCAUUGGGUGGCGUGGGAUCAACUUGCAUCUCCGAAGGCUCGAGGGGGUUUGGGUUUCCGCAACUUGCAGCUGUUCAACCUGGCGUUGCUUGGGAAACACGGCUGGAGGUUUAUUACUCACCCGGACUCGUUAUCUGCAAGGGUUAUCAAGGGGCGUUAUUUUCCCGAUGGGGAGUUCAUGAAGGCCACGGUACCGAAGACGUCGUCUGCCAUCUGGCGAGCGAUCGUAGCAGGUCGAAAGGCUCUUGAGGCUAGUUUGAUUAAAAGAGUGAGAGACGGGACUACUACCAACAUUUGGCAUGAUAGAUGGAUCCCAGGUCUGGAUACUUUGUCUCCCAUGGUGAUAGCAGGUGGGACGACGCUAGAGACAGUGGACCAGCUAAUUGAUUCAGAGAACUGGACAUGGCGUCGAGAUCUGAUAUGGGACGUUUUUGCCGCACAUGAUGCUGAUGCUAUACUCAAUAUUCCAUUGCGUGUGGGUGGUGGCGAUGAUUUUCUUGCUUGGGCCCAUGAAAGAAGUGGCAUCUACUCUGUAAAAUCGGCGUACCGUGCUCUCGUGACUCAUAAAGAGCGUUCAGCUCUUGAGGAAGGGACGGUUACCGGCACCUCAUAG